rnacentral:rRNA from 1 species
GAUGAACGCUAGCGGCAGGCUUAACACAUGCAAGUCGAGGGGUAUAGUUCUUCGGAAUUAGAGACCGGCGCACGGGUGCGUAACGCGUAUGCAAUCUACCUUUUACAGGGAAUAGCCCAGAGAAAUUUGGAUUAAUGCCCCAUAGUAUAGCAGUUUCGCAUGAAACUACUAUUAAAGUACCAACGGUAAAAGAUGAGCAUGCGUCCCAUUAGCUAGAUGGUAAGGUAACGGCUUACCAUGGCGACGAUGGGUAGGGGUCCUGAGAGGGAGAUCCCCCCACACUGGUACUGAGACACGGACCAGACUCCUACGGAGGCAGCAGUGAGGAAUAUUGGUCAAUGGACGCAAGUCUGAACCAGCCAAUGCCGCGUGCAGGAUGACGGUCC